GGUUGAAUCGGCGGUGGGGGCAAUUACUGCUGGUUGGGUAUUAAAUGAGUUGUUGGUUGAGGGGCAUUGACUGACUUCCGGAUUGCUGGUUUGGGGUUUAAAAAUUUUUCUUCUUUUGUUCCAUUCGGUGAUUAUAAUUAUA
rnacentral:rRNA from 1 species